rnacentral:rRNA from 1 species
GGGAGGUAGUGACAAUAAAUAACAAUACGGGGUCCUUUCGGGUUUCGUAAUUGGAAUGAGUACAAUUUAAAUCUCUUAACGAGGAACAAUUGGAGGGCAAGUCUGGUGCCAGCAGCCGCGGUAAUUCCAGCUCCAAUAGCGUAUAUUAAAGUUGUUGCAGUUAAAAAGCUCGUAGUUGAAUUUCGGGAUUCUACCGUUGGUCGGGCUAACAAGUCUGUACUGGUGUGUAGAAUUUCUACCUUCUGGGGAACUAUCAUGUUAUUAAUUUAGCGUGGUGGGAAACCAGGACCUUUACCUUGAAAAAUUAGAGUGUUCAAAGCAGGCUUACGUCUGAAUACAUUAGCAUGGAAUAAUAGAAUAGGACGGUGGUCCUGUUUUGUUGGUUUCUGAAUCACCGUAAUGAUUAAUAGGGAUAGUUGGG